GAUGAACGCUGGCGGCGUGCUUAACACAUGCAAGUCGAACGAAGCACUUUAUUUGAUUUCCUUCGGGACUGAUUAUUUUGUGACUGAGUGGCGGACGGGUGAGUAACGCGUGGGUAACCUGCCUUGUACAGGGGGAUAACAGUUGGAAACGGCUGCUAAUACCGCAUAAGCGCACAGCAUCGCAUGAUGCAGUGUGAAAAACUCCGGUGGUAUAAGAUGGACCCGCGUUGGAUUAGCUAGUUGGUGAGGUAACGGCCCACCAAGGCGACGAUCCAUAGCCGACCUGAGAGGGUGACCGGCCACAUUGGGACUGAGACACGGCCCAAACUCCUACGGGAGGCAGCAGUGGGGAAUAUUGCACAAUGGGAGAAAGCCUGAUGCAGCGACGCCGCGUGAGCGAAGAAGUAUUUCGGUAUGUAAAGCUCUAUCAGCAGGGAAGAUAAUGACGGUACCUGAAUAAGAAGCACCGGCUAAAUACGUG
rnacentral:rRNA from 1 species